GAAAAAUCUCGUUUGUAAGAUGCCGAUGAAGAGACAAUUGGUUUGCCGUGGCAGCUGUUUUCAUGUAUGGACAUUGAUGGUCAGAGGUAUUUGGUGGACGCGAAAGCCGUAGAGAUAUGCUCUGCAUAUGAGAUGUAAAAAGUUAGCAAUUCAUGUAAGUAGGCUGCUUAAUUUUUUCGUUAGUGGGAAAUCUGGGCUUGGAAAUUUUGGAGGAUUCAAUCUAGUCAAAUUCAUUUGUGUAGGCACA
rnacentral:misc_RNA from 1 species